GGCAAGGUGGCCGAGUGGUCUAAGGCGCUGGUUUUAGGCGCUAUAAGAUUCGCAAAUCGAGUACUUAUAAACCCGAAACACCAGUUCGAAAGAGCAUGGGUUCGAAUCCCAUCCUUGUCA